GAUGAAGAACGUAGCGAAAUGCGAUACUUGGUGUGAAUUGCAGAAUCCCGUGAACCAUCGAGUCUUUGAACGCAAGUUGCGCCUCAAGCCAUUAGGUUGAGGGCACGUCUGCCUGGGCGUCACAUAUCGUUGCCUGAUGCCAGUUUCCUCGUGAUGGGUGACUGUGCAGGGCGAAUGAUGGCUUCCCGUGAGCAUUGUUGCCUCAUGGUUGGUUGAAAAUUGAGUCCUUGGUAGGGAGCGCCGUGAUAGAUGGUGGUUGAGUGACGAACGAGACCCAAUCAUGUGAGACCCCUACCGAAUUUGGCCUUCCUGACCCACAUGCGUCUUUGGAACGCUCAUGACGAGACCUCAGGUCAGGCGGGGCUACCCGCUGAGUUUAAGCAUAUCAAUAAGCGGAGGA
rnacentral:misc_RNA from 1 species